UUUUUUUUUUUUUUUUUUUUUUUGGCAGCGCUAGCUGAGGUUUUAUUUUGAACCAAAAAAAGAAGCAAUUGAAUUGUUUUAUAGCUGGAGGCAUGGGCAAGGGGAGUCCCCACGUAGUAAACUCCCCUGUGCGUGGGCUGAGGGCCCUCAGGUGGGUCUCCUGUUCCCAGUGGUACCCUACAUAGCGGUCUCCCUCCCAGGCUCUGGGGCAGCACAGGAGGGGUAGGCUGGGAGGGGCUGCCGCAGCUGUUCACUUGGGCAGGAGGUCAGAGGACUCGGACACAAGCUUCCCAUUGCGUGUCUUGAUCUUCUUCACAACCAUGGCCCUGGAGGAGCUGGUGCGUCUGAAGGAGCUGGAGCCCGCACCAGAGCCAAAGCUGGAGCCCACGCCGUAGCUGAGGCCCGGGCUUGUGAGGCCCCCAUAGGCGGAGCUCAGACCACCUGCAUAGCCGCUGGUGGUCUUCAUAUGAAGACUCAUGUUCUGCAUCCCAGACUCCAGCCGGCUCUCUUCUCCCUCCAGCAGCUUCCUGUAGGUGGCGAUCUCGAUGUACAGGGCCAGCUUGACGUUCACCAGCUCCUGGUACUCACGCAGCUGCCGUGCCAUGUCUUGCUUGGCCCGCUGCAGGGCGGCCUCCAGCUCGGACAACUUGGCGUUGGCAUCCUUAAUGGCCAGCUCUCCACGCUGCUCAGCAUCUGCAAUAGCCGCCUCCAGGGAAGCCCUCUGGCCUUUGAGGCCCUCAAUCUCAGCAUGGAGCCUGCUGAUGUUCCGGUUCAUCUCGGAGAUCUCAGUCUUGGUGCACCGCAGGUCAUCCCCGUGCUUCGCAGCCAGGCUCUGCAGCUCCUCAUACUUGAUCUGGUACAUGCUCUCAGCCUCAGCCCGGCUGCGGUUGGCGAUCUCCUUGUACUGUGCCUUGACCUCAGCAAUGAUGCUGUCCAUGUCCAGGGAGCGGCUGUUGUGCAUGGACAGCACCACAGAUGUGUCCCAGAUCUGGGACUGCAGCUCCUGGAUCUCCUCUUCAUACAGCUGCCUGAGGAAGUUGAUCUCAUCAGUCAGCCCUUCCAGGCAAGACUCCAUCUCUACCUUGUUCAUGUAAGCUUCAUCCACAUCCUUCUUGAUGAGGACAAAUUCAUUCUCCAUCUCUGUACGCUUAUUGAUCUCAUCCUCAUACUUGUUCUUGAAGUUCUCCACCAGCCCGUGCAUGUUGCCAAGCUCCGCCUCCAGCUUCAGCUUCUCCUGGCCCAGAGUCUCCAGCUGCCGCCUAAAGUUGUUGAUGUAACUCUCGAACAUGUUGUCCAUGUUGCUCCGAGCCGCCUUCUGCUGCUGCAGGAGGCUCCACCUGGUCUCCAGCAUCUUGUUCGGCUGCUCCAGGAACCGUACCUUGUCGAUGAAGGAGGCAAACUUGUUGUUAAGGGUCUUGAUCUGAUCCUUCUCCUGGGUGCGCACGGCCUGGAUGUUGGGGUCCACCUCCAGGUUAAGGGGGCUCAGCAGGCUCUGGUUGACCGUGACUGCAGUGAUGCCUCCCAUGCCGCUAGCCCCACCAUAGCCGCCGCCCAGGCCACCCCGAAAGCUGCUGCCUCCCACGCGGGAGAAGCUCGAGGAGCUGAUGAAGGCACCGGGCCCACUCGUGUAGGAGCCGCUGCUGAAGGCCCGGGGGCCAGAGGUGGACACUUUGUAGGACUUCUGGGUCACCCUGAUGGACAUGGUGGAUGCAGGAGUGGAGGCAGGUGGCCCGAACCAGGCAGAGAUCCUAGAAGGAGCGGAGAAUGUACCACAUUUUCUUUAUCCAGUCUACCAUUGAUGAGAAUUUAGGUUGAUUCCAAAAAAAAAAAAACCAAAUCUUUUGAAAAAAAAUCAAGUGAGACAAAAAAUAAAAAAGAGGAAGAAAGAAUAAGCAAAGACUACCCAAGAAAAGAGGAGAGAAGACCCAAAUAAACAAAACCAGAGACGAAAAAGGAGACAUUACAAUUGAUACCUAUGCCAAAACCAGACAAGGACACAACAGCAACAAAAAAAAAAACUCCAGACCAAUAUCCCUGAUAAAUAUAGAUGCAUAAAUAUUCAACAAAAUACUAGCAAACUAAAUCCAAUAGCACAUCAAGAGGAUAAUACACUACAAUCAAGUGGGUUUUAUAUUAUGGA
ensembl:lncRNA